rnacentral:rRNA from 1 species
CCCUAGUAACUGCGAGUGAAGCGGGAAAAGCUCAAAUUUAAAAUCUGGCGGUCUUAGGCUGUCCGAGUUGUAAUCUAGAGAAGUGUUAUCCGCGCUGGACCGUGUACAAGUCUCCUGGAAUGGAGCGUCAUAGAGGGUGAGAAUCCCGUCUUUGACACGGACUGCCAGGGCUUUGUGAUGCGCUCUCAAAGAGUCGAGUUGUUUGGGAAUGCAGCUCAAAAUGGGUGGUAAAUUCCAUCUAAAGCUAAAUAUUGGCGAGAGACCGAUAGCGAACAAGUACCGUGAGGGAAAGAUGAAAAGAACUUUGGAAAGAGAGUUAAACAGUACGUGAAAUUGCUGAAAGGGAAACGCUUGAAGUCAGUCGCGUUGGCCGGGGAUCAACCUUGCUUUUGCUGGGCGUACUUCCCGGUUGAUGGGUCAGCAUCAAUUUUGACCGUUGGAUAAAGGUUAGGGGAAUGUGGCAUCUUCGGAUGUGUUAUAGCCCUUGGUCGCAUACAACGGUUGGGAUUGAGGAACUCAGCACGCCGCAAGGCCGAGUAUUUAUACUACGUUCGUGCUUAGGAUGCUGGCAUAAUGGCUUUAAUCGACCCGUCUUGAAACACGGACCAAGGAGUCUAACAUGCCUGCGAGUGUUUGGGUGGAAAACCCGAGCGCGUAAUGAAAGUGAAAGUUGAGAUCCCUGUCGUGGGGAGCAUCGACGCCCGGACCAGACCUUUUGUGACGGCUCCGCGGUAGAGCAUGUAUGUUGGGACCCGAAAGAUGGUGAACUAUGCCUGAAUAGGGUGAAGCCAGAGGAAACUCUGGUGGAGGCUCGUAGCGAUUCUGACGUGCAAAUCGAUCGUCAAAUUUGGGUAUAGGGGCGAAAGACUAAUCGAACCAUCUAGUAGCUGG